rnacentral:tRNA from 1 species
GCGUCCGUAGCUCAAUUGGAUAGAGCACUGGUCUUCGGAACCAGGGGUUGGAGGUUCGAGUCCUCCCGGGCGUG